AAUUAAUAAUUUACAGCCUGUUCCACGAUAUCGAAAGAACACGUUCGCACAACUUUUACACGACAAACAGCUGAUUUCCGUUCCACUAAAAUCCAUCAGAACGAAAAUUUGCACGAAAAUCAAAGCGAACGUAAACGUAAGCAUUUCAGUGUAAUUUUGCGUUCCACUAUCUUUUUUCUUUCGUUCGCAUGCGAACACAAAUGUCAAAAUCAGUCACUUGUGUCUUUGCUGUCGUAUGAUAACAAUUAAGGAAAAUUGUUUUAACAUAAGCAUUGCUUGAUUGAAAAUGGAAACAAAAAUCACGAAAAAAUCAACUACACAGCUGCGGGCACUAGUUGAGUAUAUGUAGGAGAAUCCUGAGUUCGCCAGAGGAGUGCCAAUUUUUGGAAGCAGCAUCAUAUCCAUCAUAUCCAAAAGAGCCCGAAAAACUUCCUUCGACACACGAAAAUUGGCCACAAACCUAGUAAAAAUCAUUGGUUAUUAUUUCAAAAAUGUAAAAAUACAAUCAUACUUACUGGUUGUUAGGUACUUCAAAUAAAUUCGAAGAAUCUCUUAAA